UAAAUGAUCUUGCACAAAAAAAAAUAAAAAACUCCGGCUAGCUGACACCUGCGAAUUCCCCAAAUGUGGGAAUCUCGACUGCAUAAUUUCUGAUAGUGGGGGACUGCGUUCGCGCUCUCCCCUG
rnacentral:snRNA from 1 species